CCGGUUGAUCCCGCCGGAGGCCAUUGCUAUUGGGAUUCGAUUUAGCCAUGCUAGUCGCACGAGUUCAGACUCGUGGCGAAUAGCUCAGUAACACGUGGCCAAACUACCCUUCGGAACACGAUACCCUCGGGAAACUGAGGCUAAUAGUGUAUACCACAGUCCACCUGGAAUGAGGACUGUGUCAAACGCUCCGGCGCCGAAGGAUGUGGCUGCGGCCGAUUAGGUAGACGGUGGGGUAACGGCCCACCGUGCCAAUAAUCGGUACGGGUCAUGAGAGUGAGAACCCGGAGACGGAAUCUGAGACAAGAUUCCGGGCCCUACGGGGCGCAGCAGGCGCGAAACCUUUACACUGCACGAACGUGCGAUAAGGGGACUCCAAGUGCGAGGGCAUACAGUCCUCGCUUUUCCCUACCGUAAGGUGGUAGGUGAAUAAGAGCUGGGCAAGACCGGUGCCAGCCGCCGCGGUAAUACCGGCAGCUCGAGUGAUGGCCAAUAUUAUUGGGCCUAAAGCGUCCGUAGCUGGCCGAACAGGUCCGUCGGGAAAUCCGCUCGCUCAACGGGCGGACGUCCGGCGGAAACCAGUCGGCUUGGGACCGGAAGACCCGAGGGGUACGGCCGGGGUAGGAGUGAAAUCCUGUAAUCCUGGCCGGACCACCGGUGGCGAAAGCGCCUCGGGAGGACGGAUCCGACAGUGAGGGACGAAAGCUUGGGUCACGAACCGGAUUAGAUACCCGGGUAGUCCAAGCUGUAAACGAUGCUCGCUAGGUGUGGCACUGGCUACGAGCCAGUGCUGUGCCGUAGGGAAGCCGAGAAGCGAGCCGCCUGGGAAGUACGUCCGCAAGGAUGAAACUUAAAGGAAUUGGCGGGGGAGCAC
rnacentral:rRNA from 1 species